rnacentral:lncRNA from 1 species
UUAUUGGUAUAGAUAUUUAAUACUGUGAUGUUUUUCUCCCUGCGCGCAGCUUAGCCAUGUUCCACAGUCCGCAGCAUGUGGCGCCUCUCUCUCCUUUCAUCUUCCGUGACUCCUGCUUGGCAGACUCGCUGUGUCGUCAGGAGGAGUGCUGUGCACGGGGGUUUACAGGGAUGGAGCGGAAGGAGACGGGGCAGGACUCGAACGAUGAGGAGACACCCUCAAAGCGGGAACUGGCCACACGACAGAAAUAGAGAAGGCAGAAAAGAAGAACGAAAGCAGAAUCAAGAUUCAGAUUCAUGUAGACCAGUGGUCGUAACAGACAGACGUCCUCCCACAGUGCUGAGAAGAAACCUGCCAUGAAGGAUUAACCACGAGUCUGGAGUGUACACUGAUGAAGGCAGGUGCAUGUAAGAGGAGAAUGAGGCCAAGAAGGUUGAGGAGGAUUCCCCUGUAAGGUCUGCC